rnacentral:rRNA from 1 species
AUUGAACGCUGGCGGCAGGCUUAACACAUGCAAGUCGAGCGGAGAUGAGGUGCUUGCACCUUAUCUUAGCGGCGGACGGGUGAGUAAUGCUUAGGAAUCUGCCUAUUAGUGGGGGACAACAUUCCGAAAGGAAUACUAAUACCGCAUACGCCCUACGGGGGAAAGCAGGGGAUCUUCGGACCUUGCGCUAAUAGAUGAGCCUAAGUCGGAUUAGCUAGUUGGUGGGGUAAAGGCCUACCAAGGCGACGAUCUGUAGCGGGUCUGAGAGGAUGAUCCGCCACACUGGGACUGAGACACGGCCCAGACGCCUACGGGAGGCAGCAGUGGGGAAUAUUGGACAAUGGGCGGAAGCCUGAUCCAGCCAUGCCGCGUGUGUGAAGAAGGCCUUUUGGUUGUAAAGCACUUUAAGCGAGGAGGAGGCUACCUGGAUUAAUACUCUAGGAUAGUGGACGUUACUCGCAGAAUAAGCACCGGCUAACUCUGUGCCAGCAGCCGCCGUAAAAC